CAGCAGCCACGGUAAUCCGAAGGGGGCUAGCGUUGCUCGGAAUGACUGGGCGUAAAGGGCGCGUAGGCGGUUGACACAGUCAGAUGUGAAAUUCCCGGGCUUAACCUGGGAAUGGCAAUGGAUACUGGCAAGCUAGAGUGUGUCAGAGGAUGGUGGAAUUCCCGGUGUAGCGGUGAAAUGCGUAGAGAUCGGGAGGAACAUCAGUGGCGAAGGCGGCCAUCUGGGACAACACUGACGCUGAGGCACGAAAGCGUGGGGAGCAAACAGGAUUAGAUACCCCUGUAGUCCCUGUCUCUUAUAA
rnacentral:rRNA from 1 species